UUUUUUGAGGAUUUGAUCCUGGUCCAGGAUGAACGCUGGCGGCGUGCCUUAGGCAUGCAAGUCGAACGGGAGCCGCAAGGCUCCAGUGGCAGACGGGUGAGUAACGCGUGGGAAUCUACCUCUGGGUGGAACAUAGCUGUCCGAAAGGAUGGGUAAUAUUCCAUAGUUCCCCUCUUUUUUAAAAAAGAGGGGGUAAAGCAUUAACUUUGCGCCGAGAGAGGAGCCCGCGUCCUAUCAGCUUGUUGGCGGGGUAAAGGCCCACCAAGGCGAUGACGGGUAGCUGGAUUGAGAGGUCGAUCAGCCACAACUGCACUGAGACACGGGCAGUACACCUACGGGUGGCAGCAACCAGGAAUAUUGGGCAAUGGGCGCAAGCCUGACCCAGCGACGCCGCGUGGAGGAAGACGGCCUUAGGGUUGUAAACUCCUUUUGUCCCGCUCUUCACGGCGGGAAGAAUAAGCCCCUACUAACUACGUGCCAGAAGUCUCGGUAAUACGUAGGGGGCAAGCGUUAUCCGGAUUCAUUGGGCGUAAAGUGUGCGUAGGCGUCCCGCCAAGUUUCUGUUCAAAUACUGCGGCUUAACCGCAGGAAGGGUAGAAAAACUGGCGGGAUUGAGGAUUGGCAGGGGUGCAGGAACAGUAGGUGUAGCAGUGAAAUGCGUUGAUAUCUACUGGAACACCAAAGGCGAAGGCAUGCACCUGGGCUUUUCCCUGACGCUGAGGCACGAAAGCUAGGGUAGCGAAACAGAUUAGAUACCUGUGUAGUCCUAGCCGUAAACGAUGUCCGCUAGCUCUUCGACCGCCUGGGGAGUACGGCCGCAAGGCUAAAACUCAAAGGAAUUGACGGGGACCCGCACAACCAGUGGAGCGUGUGGUUCAAUUCGAGACAAAACGAAAAACCUUACCAGGGCUUGACAUGUUACCGUUUUAUUCUUCUGGAAACAGAAGAAGAUCCUAUCGUAAGAUGGGAUGGUAAUGCAGGUGCUGCAUGGCUGUCGUCAGCUCGUGCCGUGAGGUGUUCCCUUAAGUGGGGAAACGAGCGCAACCCCCGCCUAAUGUUAGAUUAUUCAUUAGGGACGGUCCCGAGUCUAACUCGGGAAGGAAGGAGGGGAAGACGUCAAGUCAGCACGGCCCUUAUGCCCUGGGUUACACACACACUACAAUGGCGAAUAACAACGGGUUGCAAGCUGGUAACAGCAAGCUAAUCCCUUAAAUUUCGCCUCAGUUCAGAUUGAGGGCUGAAACCCGCCCUCAUGAAGUCGGAAUUGGUAGUAAUCGCGGAUCAGCAAGCCGCGGUGAAUACGUUCUCGGGUCUUGUACACACCGCCCGUCAAGGCAGCAAAGUCGGGGGUAGCCGAAUCUCGCCAUUAGGUGAGAGAGGCUAAAUUCGGCGAUGAGGCUUAAGUCGUAACAAGGUAUCCCUAGCCGAAGCUGGGGAUGGAUCACCUCCUUUCUA
rnacentral:rRNA from 1 species